rnacentral:rRNA from 1 species
AUGAACGCUGGCGGCGUGCCUAAUACAUGCAAGUCGAGCGAACAGACGAGGAGCUUGCUCCUCUGACGUUAGCGGCGGACGGGUGAGUAACACGUGGAUAACCUACCUAUAAGACUGGGAUAACUUCGGGAAACCGGAGCUAAUACCGGAUAAUAUAUUUAACCGCAUGGUUCAAUAGUGAAAGACGGUUUUGCCGUCACUUAUAGGUGGAUCCGCGCCGCAUUAGCUAGUUGGUAAGGUAACGGCUUACCAAGGCAACGAUGCGUAGCCGACCUGAGAGGGUGAUCGGCCACACUGGAACUGAGACACGGUCCAGACUCCUACGGGAGGCAGCAGUAGGGAAUCUUCCGCAAUGGGCGAAAGCCUGACGGAGCAACGCCGCGUGAGUGAUGAAGGUCUUCGGAUCGUAAAACUCUGUUAUUAGGGAAGAACAAAUGUGUAAGUAACUAUGCACGUCUUGACGGUACCUAAUCAGAAAGCCACGGCUAACUACGUG